rnacentral:miRNA from 1 species
AGCUGUUGGACUAUUUGGUG